ACUCUAAGCGGUGGAUCACUCGGCUCAUGGGUCGAUGAAGAACGCAGCAAACUGUGCGUCAUCGUGUGAACUGCAGGACACAUGAACAUCGACAUUUUGAACGCAUAUCGCAGUCCAUGCUGUUAUGUACUUUAAUUAAUUUUAUAGUGCUGCUUGGACUACAUAUGGUUGAGGGUUGUAAGACUAUGCUAAUUAAGUUGCUUAUAAAUUUUUAUAAGCAUAUGGUAUAUUAUUGGAUAAAUAUAAUAAUUUUUAUUCAUAAUAUUAAAAAAUAAAUGAAAAACAUUAUCUCACAUUUGAAUGUGAAAAACGAAGAGAAAUAUUUUCUUUUUCAAUCAAAUAAUACUGAGAAAUGUCUAGCAUAAAAAAUUGAAAUAUUUUUCAUCUAGAAUUGUCUCUUAUUAAUGAUUCGGAAAUAGAAAAAUCUUGGUUAUGUUAUUAUUCUUCGUUGGUUCGUUAAAAAUGGAUAAAUAAAAACUUUGCAUACAAGAAUUAAUAAAAAUGUUAUAACGAAUUUAAUUAAAUGUUUUAUCAUUAUAUAUAAAGAAUUUAUGGCAAGAUAAAGUUAUAUACAACCUCAACUCAUAUGGGACUACCCCCUGAAUUUAAGCAUAUUAAUUAGGGGAGGAAAAGAAACUAACAAGGAUUUUCUUAGUAGCGGCGAGCGAAAAGAAAACAGUUCAGCACUAAGUCACUUUGUCUAUAUGGCAAAUGUGAGAUGCAGUGUAUGGAGCGUCAAUAUUCUAGUAUGAGAAAUUAACGAUUUAAGUCCUUCUUAAAUGAGGCCAUUUACCCAUAGAGGGUGCCAGGCCCGUAUAACGUUAAUGAUUACUAGAUGAUGUUUCCAAAGAGUCGUGUUGCUUGAUAGUGCAGCACUAAGUGGGUGGUAAACUCCAUCUAAAACUAAAUAUAACCAUGAGACCGAUAGUAAACAAGUACCGUGAGGGAAAGUUGAAAAGAACUCUGAAUAGAGAGUUAAACAGUACGUGAAACUGCUUAGAGGUUAAGCCCGAUGAACCUGAAUAUCCGUUAUGGAAAAUUCAUCAUUAAAAUUGUAAUAUUUAAAUAAUAUUAUGAGAAUAGUGUGCAUUUUUUCCAUAUAAGGACAUUGUAAUCUAUUAGCAUAUACCAAAUUUAUCAUAAAAUAUAACUUAUAGUUUAUUCCAAUUAAAUUGCUUGCAUUUUAACACAGAAUAAAUGUUAUUAAUUUGAUAAAGUGCUGAUAGAUUUAUAUGAUUACAGUGCGUUAAUUUUUCGGAAUUAUAUAAUGGCAUAAUUAUCAUUGAUUUUUGUGUUUAUUAUAUGCACUUGUAUGAUUAACAAUGCGAAAGAUUCAGGAUACCUUCGGGACCCGUCUUGAAACACGGACCAAGGAGUCUAACAUAUGUGCAAGUUAUUGGGAUAUAAACCUAAUAGCGUAAUUAACUUGACUAAUAAUGGGAUUAGUUUUUUAGCUAUUUAUAGCUAAUUAACACAAUCCCGGGGCGUUCUAUAUAGUUAUGUAUAAUGUAUAUUUAUAUUAUUUAUGCCUCUAACUGGAACGUACCUUGAGCAUAUAUGCUGUGACCCGAAAGAUGGUGAACUAUACUUGAUCAGGUUGAAGUCAGGGGAAACCCUGAUGGAAGACCGAAACAGUUCUGACGUGCAAAUCGAUUGUCAGAAUUGAGUAUAGGGGCGAAAGACCAAUCGAACCAUCUAGUAGCUGGUUCCUUCCGAAGUUUCCCUCAGGAUAGCUGGUGCAUUUUAAUAUUAUAUAAAAUAAUCUUAUCUGGUAAAGCGAAUGAUUAGAGGCCUUAGGGUCGAAACGAUCUUAACCUAUUCUCAAACUUUAAAUGGGUAAGAACCUUAACUUUCUUGAUAUGAAGUUCAAGGUUAUGAUAUAAUGUGCCCAGUGGGCCACUUUUGGUAAGCAGAACUGGCGCUGUGGGAUGAACCAAACGUAAUGUUACGGUGCCCAAAUUAACAACUCAUGCAGAUACCAUGAAAGGCGUUGGUUGCUUAAAACAGCAGGACGGUGAUCAUGGAAGUCGAAAUCCGCUAAGGAGUGUGUAACAACUCACCUGCCGAAGCAACUAGCCCUUAAAAUGGAUGGCGCUUAAGUUGUAUACCUAUACAUUACCGCUAAAGUAGAUGAUUUAUAUUACUUGUGAUAUAAAUUUUGAAACUUUAGUGAGUAGGAAGGUACAAUGGUAUGCGUAGAAGUGUUUGGCGUAAGCCUGCAUGGAGCUGCCAUUGGUACAGAUCUUGGUGGUAGUAGCAAAUAAUCGAAUGAGACCUUGGAGGACUGAAGUGGAGAAGGGUUUCGUGUGAACAGUGGUUGAUCACGAGUUAGUCGGUCCUAAGUUCAAGGCGAAAGCCGAAAAUUUUCAAGUAAAACAAAAAUGCCUAACUAUAUAAACAAAGCGAAUUAUAAUACACUUGAAUAAUUUUGAACGAAAGGGAAUACGGUUCCAAUUCCGUAACCUGUUGAGUAUCCGUUUGUUAUUAAAUAUGGGCCUCGUGCUCAUCCUGGCAACAGGAACGACCAUAAAGAAGCCGUCGAGAGAUAUCGGAAGAGUUUUCUUUUCUGUUUUAUAGCCGUACUACCAUGGAAGUCUUUCGCAGAGAGAUAUGGUAGAUGGGCUAGAAGAGCAUGACAUAUACUGUUGUGUCGAUAUUUUCUCCUCGGACCUUGAAAAUUUAUGGUGGGGACACGCAAACUUCUCAACAGGCCGUACCAAUAUCCGCAGCUGGUCUCCAAGGUGAAGAGUCUCUAGUCGAUAGAAUAAUGUAGGUAAGGGAAGUCGGCAAAUUAGAUCCGUAACUUCGGGAUAAGGAUUGGCUCUGAAGAUUGAGAUAGUCGGGCUUGAUUGGGAAACAAUAACAUGGUUUAUGUGCUCGUUCUGGGUAAAUAGAGUUUCUAGCAUUUAUGUUAGUUACUUGUUCC
rnacentral:rRNA from 1 species